ACAUGCUUACAACAUAACGUUAAUGCACCAGAUCCCAUUAGAACUUUGUAGUUAAGCGCACUUGGGCUAGAGUAGUACUAGGAUGGGUGACCUCCAAGGGAAGUCCUAGUGUUUUACAUGCC
rfam:Picea glauca, whole genome shotgun sequence.